rnacentral:rRNA from 1 species
GAUGAACGCUGGCGGCGUGCUUAACACAUGCAAGUCGAACGGAAAGCCCCUUCGGGGGAAUUCGAGUGGCGAACGGGUGAGUAACACGUGGGGAGUCUGCCCUUCUCUCUGGGAUAACUCGGGGAAACUCGAGCUAAUACCGGAUAUUCCGAUCAGGUCGCAUGGCCAGAUCGGGAAAGCUCCGGCGGAGAAGGAUGACCCCGCGGCCCAUUAGCUUGUUGGUGAGGUAACGGCUCACCAAGGCGACGAUGGGUAGCCGAGCUGAGAGGCUGAUCGGCCACACUGGGACUGAGACACGUCCCGGAGUCCUACGGGAGGCAGCAGUGGGGAAUCUUGCGCAAUGGGCGAAAGCCUGACGCAGCAACGCCGCGUGCGGGAUGAAGGCUCUCGGGUCGUAAACCGCUUUCAGCAGGGAUGAAAUUGACAGUACCUGCAGAAGAAGCCCCGGCUAAAUACGUGCCAGCAGCCGCAGUAAUAC